UGGAUAAUUUCUAUGAAUACUUAGGAAAAUGUUUUUGUUCAUAGAUAAAUAUAUAGAAUAAUAUAUGAAGAUAGAAAUGUGUUUAUAUAUUAUUUCCCAUUGUUUGAGAUAUAAUGUUAUUAUCAAGAGUAAAUUUUAAAAAAAUGGUACCUUCAUGAAAAGAAAUGAAAUAAAUAUACUUCAGAUGAUGUGGCUGCCCUCCACAUGAAGGCAGUGAGUCAGAGCAGGGUGAAUUUGCACUGACUUGCCUUUCACUGGAUCUGAGAAUGAUAUUCAGAAUCAGUGCCAACUGGAUCUACUCAAUUGGGAAUCAGCACUUUCUGGAUCAGAUAUAUUAGAAAAUACAUGGCCUAUAUUAAGAGGACAGUUUCAAAAUAUCAGAGAUGUUAUUUCAUCAACUGAAUGGAAGAUACCACAAUAAUUCAAACUAGGAAGAUGAGAAAGAUGAGAGCUACUUUUAAGGUUUCUUGGCUGAGACUUCCAUGCAGAAUCAGCUACACACCACACCAAGUGUUUCUGAAUCUUUCCAAUUACUCCAAAUAUGAAUCAUUAUACCCUGGUGUGCCCAACAUACAGAAGGAAAUCCCAAGUUAAGAAACCUCAAGGAAGAAAUCUCACUGGGGCUCAAAACUGUGGAGGAGACAGAAUCAGCCCAGGUUCAAAAGUGGCCUAGAAUUCUGGCAGGUGCUUGGAAUGACCAUGAGCAAAGUAUGCUGACCUUCAACUGCCUCACAAUGAGCAUCAGGUUGCUAAGCAACAGGUCUCUAUACCAAUUUCUGCCCUGUGGUCUGAAAAUGUGAGAGGUUCUCCAAUUGUGCAGGUGAGUUUGGAGGGGUUGGUGCCUGUGCAGUUUGGAGUAGGUAUAUAAGGAUAAUUCUGCAGCCCUGAAGAACCCCUGCACCCCUGAUUGGUGGUGAGCUUUUGACUGUCCCUGGAGGAUGCUAUACUAGAAUGCCCAAGGGCAAAUUCCAAUUAGGUGUGGGAUAGGUGAAGCAUUAAUGAAUUGCCCCUGGCCAGGCUUUGGCCAGCUUUUGUCUUCCAAUUGCACAGAAAUUACUGCUGGAUCUAUGACAUGCAACUUAGCAUCCCAGGAGCUCACUUAGCAGUGCUCAAAAUGAGGCAUUCCCAUGUGCAGUCAAUGAGUUGACUUGAAGUCAGGGAAAUUUGGACAAUUUGAUGAGUCUGCCCUAUCCACU